ACCCGGGUGCUGAAAUUGGUAGACAGGCACGGUUGAGGGCCGUGUGCACUAGUUGCGUGUGGGUUCAAGUCCCAUCCCGGGUACCA
rnacentral:tRNA from 2 species